rnacentral:rRNA from 1 species
AGUGAACGCUGGCGGCGUGCUUAACACAUGCAAGUCGAACGAGAACGGAUUAUAGCUUGCUAUAAUUGUCAGCUAAGUGGCGCACGGGUGAGUAAUGUAUAGGUAAUAUGCCUCUUACUAAGGGAUAACAAAUGGAAACGCUUGCUAAUACCUUAUACUCCUUAUUAACCUAAGUUAAUAAGGGAAAGAUUUAUUGGUAAGAGAUUAGCCUGUAUUGUAUCAGUUAGUUGGUGGGAUAAUGGCCUACCAAGACUAUGACACAUAACUGGUUUGAGAGGAUGAUCAGUCACACUGGAACUGAGACACGGUCCAGACUCCUACGGGGGGCAGCAGUGGGGAAUAUUGCACAAUGGACGAAAGUCUGAUGCAGCAACGCCGCGUGGAGGAUGACACAUUUCGGUGCGUAAACUCCUUUUAUAUGAGAAGAUAAUGACGGUAUUAUAUGAAUAAGCACCGGCUAACUCCGUGCCAGCAGCCGCAGUAACAC